GGAUUGGCACAUCGGUCGUGCCUUAAGGGGCAUGAACUGGUGUAGCCAAUUUCUCACCUUCUGGAGAACCGCGAUGUCCUUAAUUGGGUGCCGCGAGGAACCAGGACCUUUACUUUGAAAAAAUUAGAGUGUUUAAAGCAGGCAUUUUGCUUGAAUACAUUAGCAUGGAAUAAUGAAAUAGGACAUCCGAUUCUAUUUUGUUGGUUUCUAGGAUCGAUGUA
rnacentral:rRNA from 1 species